rnacentral:rRNA from 1 species
GAUGAACGCUGGCGGCGUGCCUAAUACAUGCAAGUCGAGCGAACAGACGAGGAGCUUGCUCCUCUGACGUUAGCGGCGGACGGGUGAGUAACACGUGGAUAACCUACCUAUAAGACUGGGAUAACUUCGGGAAACCGGAGCUAAUACCGGAUAAUAUAUUGAACCGCAUGGUUCAAUAGUGAAAGACGGUUUUGCUGUCACUUAUAGAUGGAUCCGCGCCGCAUUAGCUAGUUGGUAAGGUAACGGCUUACCAAGGCGACGAUGCGUAGCCGACCUGAGAGGGUGAUCGACCACACUGGAACUGAGACACGGUCCAGACUCCUACGGGAGGCAGCAGUAGGGAAUCUUCCGCAAUGGGCGAAAGCCUGACGGAGCAACGCCGCGUGAGUGAUGAAGGUCUUCGGAUCGUAAAACUCUGUUAUUAGGGAAGAACAAAUGUGUAAGUAACUAUGCACGUCUUGACGGUACCUAAUCAGAAAGCCACGGCUAACUACGU